rnacentral:lncRNA from 1 species
UCCUCGAAUUCCCACCCAAUAUCAAAGCCAAUCACUGAUUGCGUUUGAAGAUGGAAGCCCUUGUGGCAUCAACAAACAGGAGCUUGAGUGGGUCACGCCAGUUCUUUGUUGAAAAGGAAACAAAUCCAUAAAAGAACAUGCUGUUCUUUAAAAGUUGUAUUUUAACUUAAGGAUAAACUGUGGGAUUAAUAUUUUGACCUAACUUGCGUUCUGAGGUUUGGUUGGGUUAUUUUUCUUUUUUUAAAGACCUAAUGAUUAAGACAGACUCCAGUGUUAUGGCCUAUCUGUGAAGUGUCACCCACACGUCUCAUAAACACACAGCCUUUACCAGCAUAUCCUGUUCUAGGUUUCACAGAAACUCACUUAACUCUCAUGGCAACACUUCAAGGCAGCCAGGCAAGUGUUAGUACUCCCAUUUUAUGGUUGAGGAAAUUAAGGCCCUCAAAGAGUUAAGGUUUAAACCUAUGUCUUUCCACUACAGCUUAUAUAUGAAGAGCCCUGUCAAUUUUCCCACCGCUGUGCAUCAUGGAUACCAAACAGCCACACACAGAAAAGAGAGGUGCAACUGCUGA